CCCAGCUCAUUACAGGAAGCAAAUCUGCAGAUGAAAACAUGAAAUAGAACCAGAUCCUGCUAGAGCAUCAAACAUGAAAUAUGCCAGCGCCGCUCCACAGACGGCAUAAUCAAUGCCCUUCUUCCCACAGCAAAACCACCGAAAUUCUUUGUUCCUGCGCAUAGUCGUCCCAAAUCUCUACAGUUCAUCACUUCCUCCAGCAGAUGAGAUACCCCCCCAGAAACCAUGAUCUUCCGACCACCACAGCUACAACAACACUUCUACUGUCUUGCCUGCUCUAACUGAUUCUUCUAGAUUCUUUUAUCUAUAAAAUAGAAUAAGAUAAAACAUAUUCUGUAUCGAUUCUUCUGCUGUUUUCACAACCAUAAUAUUCAAGCACCUUCUAGGACUACAUUAACUGAUCAACUGUCACGUGUAGGGUUUGUUUUUCUUUGUCUUGUUCUCUCUCCCCAGGAAGAAAAUGAUGCACAGAGCAGUGCUCUGGUUUUGUGAGUUGCUUUUUUUCCCCUCCUCUAUUCUUGUUGCUCUGCAUUUGUACCAGAGAAAAUGAGGAUGACGGCAAUUUCUGUGAGAGACCUUAUUUCCCAGGGAAGUUAAUUUCAGAGUGUUGAGCCACCCGUAGAAAGAUGUCUCCUGCACAAAGGAACAUUAUAAUAUGCCAUUCCCAACCAGAGAAAAGCUAAUCUGUAUUCUUGAUACUUGGGACAGAAACUUCCUAAAAUAAAAUAAAAUAAAAUAAAAUAAAAAAGCUUUUCUUUUCCCCUUCUCCAGAAAGAGAGUUUCGACCCGUGAUGCUCAGUAUGCGAGGUUCCGACAGAUUGCUGCGAAUUAUUAACGUGCAGGCCAGCACUCCGCACGGCUAUAAACAGGACUAUCUGGAAACCACAAAGGGUAACAUACUUUUAAUCGCACCGAAACACGCUGCCAUAGGACUGCUUGGAGGGAGACGGUGGAAAUAAAUUAUUUCUUGCUAAAACACAGAGGGCGUUUACUCACGUGUAAGGAGUCACGCUGCCGCUCCUCGAAGAGGAACCCUCAGCAAUCCCACGUGUCUGAAAGGCAGCAGGCACAACAUAGGAGCUACUGAAAGGUAGAAACCGAGGUGAAGAGAGGAAUCAUCUGUGCUCAGGCACUGAAAGCAGAAAUACUGAAGACCUCAGGGAGACAGUAGACAGCAGAUUUAAUAUGUUUUUGCAAUGUGAUACGGCAGCAAAAAUCAUGCAGUUAAUUUAAUUUGGGGUUGUAAAGGCAGAGACCUCUUCUCAGAGAUAUAGGCAAUAGUCCCGUUUUUUAAUAUAGUGGCGAGACCGCAGUUUGAAGACAUGUUUAGUUCUGGACAGCUCGGUGCUAGCUAGAUGUCAACAACUUGGAGGGAAAUAAAAAAA